rnacentral:pre_miRNA from 1 species
GAUUUCAAUUGAAAAAGUCAUCAACAACAAAGUUGAAUAACUCAUCAAGAUCUAAAACUUUUAUUUUUGUUAUUUCUUCAUCCGACGAAAUGUUAGUAAUAUUAUUCACAAAUUUUACAUAUAUGUGUUAUAGUUUUAUAAAACCAGAUAAGAGAUAUGUCAAUUUUGUGAACAAUGUUACUAUCACUUUGUCGUAUGAAGAAAUGACCAAAAUAAAAGUUUUAGAUCUUGAUGAGUUAUUCAACUUUGUUGUUGAUGACUUUUUCAGUUGAUAUA